rnacentral:lncRNA from 1 species
CCUAACGCCGCGAGCGUUUGUAUUCUGCCCUUAGUAUCCUGGAGAACGAAUGAGGCAUGGCCUAAUUGUCAAAGGCAGCGAGCUGCGGAGCGAGAGGUCGCAGGUUCAAAACCGUGGGCGAGAGCUUCGGAACUUCUUUUCUUGUGAAU